UGGCGUGUUGCUCAGUCAGUAGAGCAUCCGCUUCACAACCGGGAGGUCGUGGGUUCAAACCCCGGCCGCGUCA
rnacentral:tRNA from 1 species